GACAACAGAAGCCACAGAAAUCCUCCUCAUCAAAAACAUGACUUUGAUCUCCGUCCUCAUCUGGACUCUCCUCUGCUGCUGCUUCACAGAGUCCAGAGGCCAGAUCACAGUGACUCAGUCUGCAGCAGUGAGAUCUGAACUGGGAGGAUCUGCAACCAUCAACUGUAAGACCAGUCAGAGUAUUCCAAAUAGUAACUGUUUAGCCUGGUACCAACAGAGAGAUGGAGAAGCUCCUCAACUUCUCAUUUAUUAUACUACCAAUCGAGCAUCAGGGAUUCCAGAUCGUUUUUCAAGCAGUGGCUCACAAACUGACUUCACUCUGACCAUCAGUGGAGUUCAGGCUGAAGAUGCAGCAGUUUAUUACUGUCAGAGUCUUCAUUUUAUCAACAGUCAGUUUGUGUUCACACAGUGA